GAGCCUACCUGCGGGGAGCUGCCUUCGCCUGUCCCCCGGCCCCGCCGCCGCGCAGGGGCAAGGAGGCGGCGGCACGGAGCCGGGCCGCUCCCCCUCCUCAGCCCGGCAAGCAAAGGGAGCUGCUCGAGCCAGCUUGUCAAAAUAAUGCGGCUAAUUACCCCUGAUCUCCUUUAAUGGAGAGCCGCUCUGCACGCCGCAAAGGAGCAAAUGAGGGAUCUACAGCGCCGGCCCGGGAGAGCGGGCGUUUCUUCCCGCGGAGGGCUGCGGGAGAUGCGCCUCCCGCGGCCGCCAGCCCUCCGCGCUGCCCCGCCGCGGCUCGGCCUCCCCGGGGAGGCCCCGGGAGCUGCGGAGGGCGGCGGCUGCAGCUGCAGCCCCGAUCCCGCCGGGAGACACCCGGAGGGCAUCCCGGCUUCAGCAGACCUUGUCCUGCCCGGCGAGGGGCUUUAGCCU